UAUUUACGUUUUUCCCUUUAAUUGUGUUAAUAUUUAUUAGAUUUUAUUUGUAUUUUAUUUUAUUAUUAAUAUUUAUUUUUUGUAUGUAUUAUUCACACCUGUACUCACACUGUUUCAAUAAAAAAAAAUUUGAUCACAAAAAAAUAAAAUAAAAUUAGAUGGUACAUUAUCCUGAAAUGCAACUGGUUUUAACAGUAUGUUGACCCUCACUGCUUUAACACUUGUCCAGUUGGAUGACUUGGGUGUUUUAAAUUAUGUCCUCUCAGUCCUUAAAGUCCUGUACUGCACAUUGUGGGGGCUUGGCCACCAAACAGUGUGUUGUGUAAGUUUUAACAAACGUUACUCACUCAAGUUUACCACUAGGUUGUCAAGGAUGAAAAUGAAGUCACAGGAAUGGUAACAGUUUAACAGAUGCUGCCGAAGAUGUGUAAAGAGACGGGGACAACAGCUAUCUACACCAAUCACAGCCUCAGGGCGACUGCCAUACAGAAGCUGUCAGAUGCAGGUCUUGAAGCGAAGGAGAUCAUGACAGUGAGUGGGCACAGGUCUGAGAGCUCGUUAAAAAGCUACUGGAAGCCAUCCAUGGAGAGCAGAAAACGAUGGAGCAACAUACUGUCAGAUCAGAAGGCAGAGUCAGCUGUGCCUGUGAAGCGACAGUCCACCAUGCAGUCACCAGAGACUUAUUUCACCGGCUGCACAAUUAAUGCAAAUGUGCAGAUAAAUGUGUAUAAAGAGUAAGUGCCUGGCGCACCAUGUCUGCGUUACAUAGCAACGGUGACAGCGGAGUCCUGAGGGAACUAUUUUUGUUGGCGGAAGACAAAUAAAAUGCUUAAAUUAUCUAUUUUGUCCUCAUUUUUCAA